UCUCAGUUACCAGCUGGGAACCAACCCAGAGCCCCCAGGGGUGGGCCAGCGCUGUCUUCCUCAACUUCCUCACUUUCAGUUUGUCCCAAUUAGAAGCACUUAUACAGGGAUUAUCCCUGAUUUUCACCUGAGCACUUCAGGGUCUAAUUUCUACCAGGAAAAGCAGCUCUGGGCAGGCUACACAUUCUGACCUCUUGAAGCUUGCUUUUAUUUCUUCUUUUUUUCCCUGCAUAACUCUGGGUGAAGGUGUUCAGGAAUCUUGUCCCAACACCUUUCUUUCCAAAUCAAACACUCUCAGGACUUGCAGAGCUUGCCAGGGUUGAUAAAUGCCUGAUCAUUUUGCUGCACUAUGAGCCAGCAGACUUGGGAGCAGAGAAGGAUCGCACAGGACUGGAAAAUUUCGCCUUUUGCUUAAGCCCAAGGUUUUGUUUGCCUCCCAUGAAGACAGAAGCUGUUCCAGCUUCCACUGCUAUCACCAGUGAGCUUCCCUGCUCUCAGGUUUGAGAGUGGGAGAGCACCCAUGGGUGAAGUGCAGCUGGAAUUAAUUGCACAUGCCAAAGGAUGAAGGAUGGAUGACAAACCCCCAGGUGUCUAGAGAGCUUUUUUUCCUCAAUGACUCCUGACUGAAUAAAGCCAUACUGGAGUGUGA